CCUACGGGAGGCAGCAGUGAGGAAUAUUGGUCAAUGGCCGUAAGGCUGAACCAGCCAAGUAGCGUGAGGGAAGACGGCCCUAUGGGUUGUAAACCUCUUUUGUCCGGGGGUAAAGCUGUCCACGUGUGGAUGAUUGCAGGUACCGCAUGAAUAAGGACCGGCUAAUUCCGUGCCAGCAGCCGCGGUAAUACGGAAGGUCCGGGCGUUAUCCGGAUUUAUUGGGUUUAAAGGGAGCGUAGGCCGGAGUUUAAGCGUGCGGUGAAAUUUUGGGGCCCAACCAUGGGAGUGCGGUGAGAACUGGAUCCCUUGAGUGCGCGGGAGGCAGGCGGAAUGCGUGGUGUAGCGGUGAAAUGCUUAGAUAUCACGCAGAACCCCGAUUGCGAAGGCAGCCUGCCGGAGCGUAACUGACGCUGAAGCACGAAAGCGUGGGUAUCGAACAGGAUUAGAUACCCCAGUAGUC
rnacentral:rRNA from 1 species